rnacentral:rRNA from 1 species
GACGAACGCUGGCGGCGUGCUUAACACAUGCAAGUCGAGCGGUAAGGCCCUUUCGGGGGUACACGAGCGGCGAACGGGUGAGUAACACGUGGGUGACCUGCCCUUAGCUCUGGGAUAAGCCUGGGAAACUGGGUCUAAUACCGGAUAUGACUCCAUGACGCAUGUUGUGGGGUGGAAAGCCUUGUGCGGCUAGGGAUGGGCCUGCGGCCUAUCAGCUUGUUGGUGGGGUGANGGCCUACCAAGGCGACGACGGGUAGCCGGCCUGAGAGGGCGACCGGCCACACUGGGACUGAGACACGGCCCAGACUCCUACGGGAGGCAGCAGUGGGGAAUCUUGCGCAAUGGGCGAAAGCCUGACGCAGCGACGCCGCGUGGGGAGUGACGGCCUCG